rnacentral:rRNA from 1 species
GAUGAACGCUGGCGGCGUGCCUAAUACAUGCAAGUCGAGCGAACGGACGAGAAGCUUGCUUCUCUGAUGUUAGCGGCGGACGGGUGAGUAACACGUGGAUAACCUACCUAUAAGACUGGGAUAACUUCGGGAAACCGGAUCUAAUACCGGAUAAUAUUUUGAACCGCAUGGUUCAAAAGUGAAAGACGGUCUUGCUGUCACUUAUAGAUGGAUCCGCGCUGCAUUAGCUAGUUGGUAAGGUAACGGCUUACCAAGGCAACGAUGCAUAGCCGACCUGAGAGGGUGAUCGGCCACACUGGAACUGAGACACGGUCCAGACUCCUAGGGGAGGCAGAAGUAGGGAAUCUGCCGCAAUGGGCGAAAGCCUGACGAAGCAACGCCGCGUGAGUGAUGAAGGUCUUCGGAUCGUAAAACUCUGUUAUUAGGAAAGAACAUAUGUGUAAGUAACUGUGCACAUCUUGACGGUACCGAAUCAGAAAGCCACGGCUAACUACGU